rnacentral:rRNA from 1 species
UACGUAGGGUGCAAGCGUUGUCCGGAAUUAUUGGGCGUAAAGAGCUCGUAGGCGGUUUGUCGCGUCUGGUGUGAAAAAUCCAGGGCUUAACCCUGGACCUGCAUCGGGUACGGGCAGACUAGAGUGCGGUAGGGGAGAUCGGAAUUCCUGGUGUAGCGGUGAAAUGCGCAGAUAUCAGGAGGAACACCGGUGGCGAAGGCGGAUCUCUGGGCCGUAACUGACGCUGAGGAGCGAAAGCAUGGGGAGCGAACAGG